rnacentral:rRNA from 1 species
UACGAAGGGGGCGAGCGUUGUUCGGAAUUACUGGGCGUAAAGGGCUCGUAGGCGGCCAACUAAGUCAGACGUGAAAUCCCUCGGCUUAACCGGGGAACUGCGUCUGAUACUGGAUGGCUAGAGUGUGGGAGAGGGAUGCGGAAUUCCAGGUGUAGCGGUGAAAUGCGUAGAUAUCAGGAAGAACACCUAUGGCGAAGGCAGCACUCUGGGAUAACACUGACGCUCAUGCACGAAAGCGUGGGGAGCAAACAGG